rnacentral:rRNA from 1 species
GGGCCCGCACAAGCGGUGGAGCAUGUGGUUUAAUUCGAUGCAACGCGAAGAACCUUACCAGGGCUUGACAUACUACGAAUCCUUUUGAGAAAAAGGAGUGCCUUCGGGAAUGUAGAUACAGGUGGUGCAUGGCUGUCGUCAGCUCGUGUCGUGAGAUGUUGGGUUAAGUCCCGCAACGAGCGCAACCCUUAUUUUUAGUUACCAAUUCGUUGGGUUCUCUAGAAAGACUGCCGGUGACAAACCGGAGGAAGGUGAGGAUGACGUCAAGUCAGCAUGCCCCUUAUGUCCUGGGCUACACACGUGCUACAAUGGUUAAGACAAAGAGUCGCGAGCUUGCAAGAGUCAGCUAAUCUCAUAAACUUAGCCUAAGUUCAGAUUGUAGGCUGCAACUCGCCUACAUGAAGUUGGAAUCGCUAGUAAUCG